rnacentral:lncRNA from 1 species
ACAGUACACGGAGGUUCCCAGGAUAGGGGUCUAAUCCGAGCUACAGCUGCUGGCCUAUACCACAGCCACAGCAACGCCAGAUCCAAGCUGUGCCUGUGACCUACACCACAGCUCACGGCAACACCAGAUCCUUUAACCCACAGAGUGAGGCCAGGGAUGCAACCUGCAACCUCAUGGUUCCUAGUUGGAUUUGUUUCCACUGCACCACUAUGGGAACUCCCUUAAGCAUAAAUUUAAAUAGUUGAAAAGAAUAUAAUUUUCAGGGUAUUGACAUUUAAAAAUUUUUCCAUUACUCUACUCAAUGAAAUUUGAAUAACAAUUUUAUAACAUUAUCCUUUAAAGAUAUACAUGGACAAGCUUUUUUCUAAUAGGAGGAAAUUUUGUUAUCAUUCCUUUUUCUCCCCAAACUCAUAUUUCCACUCCAUUUUCCCCAGAUAAUUUUAUCCAAAUAUAUUUUAUGCUUGAAAGUCUUUUGCUGAUCAUCCUAUCAUACUUUUGUUUGUUGUGUCUUAUUUUUAGAGAUGUUAGUACUAAGAAGACUUGUUCACAGAAGAAUGAACACUGUCUCAUAGCAAUGUUAUGCAACUUUUUAAGAAUCUUUCCAAGUUAUUAUGUCAAAUAUUACACAGUGAUCUGAAAGCAAAAUUAUUUAAAAUUAUCACUAAAACUCAAUUCAAUCCUCCUUCAAUUUUUUUGAGAGCAAAGCAUUGGAAACCACCUGACCAAUAUAGACACUGGAGAAAUUCACUAUCUCAAUUUCUGGGAAACAUAUCAAAAAGUCUUUACCAGAAUUUUUUUUUUUUUUUUUGUAUUUUCAGGGCUGCAUCUGCAGCACAUGGACGUUCUCAGGCUAGGGGUGGAAUCGGAGCUGCAGCUGCCAGUCUAUUCCACAGCCACGGCAACACCAGAUCUGACCCUUAUCUGCGACCUACACCACAACUCACAGCAACACUGGAUCCUUAACCCACUGAGCGAGUCCUGGGAUUGAACCUGUGUCCUCAUGAAUACUAGUUGGGUUUGUUACUGCUGAGCCAUGAUGGCAACUCCAAGAAUUUACUAAAUGGGUAAUAAUUAUAGCAUUCUUAAUAUUAAAUUAUUAAAUAAAUAUUUAUUACUUAUUAAUUAAUUAAUACAGACCAUCUACCAAAAUUCUUUUGUGUUCACCAAAUUCAACUUCCCUUGCAGCUUCUUAGGGCCACAUGAUUAGGCACUGACCAGUGAAUAGUGAGCAGGAAUAAUGUGCUUCUGAGUAAGCUGGUGAGCUUCCCCUCUGCCCCAGCAACACUGGAAACCAUGAAUUUCAGAUGGCAAAACUCUAAGUUGGAGGGCCAGCUGACUCCAUUAGCUCUUGUAUGGACAGCAGAUGUAUAUAAAGCCACUAUGUUUCCAGGGUGUGGAAACGUUGUAAUGUGUCAGCUAGACUAAGCUGAACUACAUUUCCCUGAAUUCUGUUCCUCUAUGAUUCUGAUCAGGGUGAGCCACAAGAGAGACUUGUGUGGGCAUUGGAGAGUGGAAGUGAAACUGUAGUCAUUUAGUGGCCCAUAUACACUGUCGCUGAUCUGCCUGCUCACUCACCUCGGGGGUGUGAGGAAUGGCUGUGUCUACCAUCACUUCCUCUUCCCCUGGAGGCUCCUUCAACUUUUCUGAUUCCUGGGCCAAGUGGGUGUGUUCAGCUCUGUAACAAAGGGCUCCAGCCUUUGCAGGACAUCCACCAAGGUCAGGGGCAACAGGAACUGACACAGGUUGUGUCUGUCCUCAUGGACUCCAGUUUGGCUGAUGCCUGCUCUUCCCCACCUUAUAUCCAUCUUCCCUUCCUGACUGCCUGCCCUAUGGACUUUAAGAUCCAGCAUCAACUGCAAAGACAACAACCUUACAGAGACUGCUUAAAUAGAUUUGACAAUUAUGAGGUCAACUCUUUUGUUUAAAAAAAAAAAAAAAAAAAGCCGUUUAAGAACACUCUUACCGGUUCUGCUUCUCUGGCUGAAUUCUGACUGAUACAUGAGUUAAUCUGCUAUGAAUUCAACUUUUCUUUACUCUUUCAUUUGGUGGUAUCUUACGUAAACUGAUAAAUUUAAAAAAAGGGUUGAGAAGAUACAAAUAUUAAUUUCAAUACACAUGCCAGUACAUUGUUGUGGCUGUGGUGUAGGCCGGCAGCUGCAGCUCUGAUUCCACCCCUACCAUGCUGUGGGCGUGGCCAUAAAAAGCAAAAAAGAAAAAAAGAAAAGAAAAAAAAAAGAAAAAAUACACAUGCCAAUAAAUUAAUUGAGGAAAUGUUUUUCCUUAUGUAUUUUAAAUGCAUUUUCCUAGAAAUUGUGAAACUAAAGAUUUACCUCAUCUAACACUUAUUAUUGGCACUAUCAAAACAGCCAAGUAAGACUCUCAGAAAAGUCUACCUUUCUCAGUUCAUAAAUAUGCUCACAUGUAUUUCGUAACUGCCUUCCCACCCCCCUGACCCUGGAUUCUAUAGAUGGAUGGAUAAGGCAUGAAACCUUGUCAAAGGGGGCUGCCACCUUCAAUACUUUUUUUUUUUUUUAAGGCCUCACCUGCGGUACAUGGACAUUCCCAGGCUAGGGGUCUAAUGGGAGCUGUAGCCAUUGGCCUAUGCCACAGCCACAGCAAUGCUGGAUCCUUAAGCCACUGAGAGAGGCCAGGGACUGAACCUGCAACCUCAUGGUUCCUAGUCGGAUUCGUUAACCACUGAGCCAUGAUGAGAACUCCUUCAAUACUUCUUAACAACAUUCUCUUUCCUUUGGUUUCACAAGAUUCUCCCUCAAGAGACUUUCAUUCUCUGAUGUUAGUUGGGAAUGAGUCAACAUUUCACUGCACUAUCCUCUUCUAAAACAAUCUGAAUUCAGAAAACUCAGCACAGGUCAAAACAUACUAUUUUAAAAUGCUGCUCUUUACCUUCAAAAGUAUUCAUAAAAAAGGGAAAGACACAAAGCUCUAUCAAGGGUUUACAGGGCCUAGAUUAAAAGAGAACUGCGUUCAGUAUUUUGAACGAGCUCUUUUUUGGGGCGGGUACCUUUAUUAGUUGUCUAUUGCUGUGUAAAAAAAAAAAAACCUCAAAAUUUGUCAGGUUAAAAUGACAAUUGUUUAUUAUCUCACACAGUCUCUGUGGGUCAGGGAUCCAAGAGUAGCUUGGAUGGGUGAUCCUGGCUCAGGAUCUCUCAUGAGGUUAAGAACUGAAUGGGGCUACUGUCAUCUGAAGGACUGACUGGGGCAGGAUGGCUCACUCAUAGGCCUGGAAAGUUAGUGCUGAUUGUUGGCAGGUGGCCUCAGUUCCUCACCACAUGGACAUCCCAUAGGGCUGCUCAAGUGUCAUCAUGACACGGCAGCUUGCUUCCUCCAGAGCGAGUAACCCGAGGGAGAGAGCAAAGAGGAACCCACAAGUCUAUGAUCCAGUCUUGGAGGUCACAUACUCUCACAUCUGCCACUCUCUCUUUUGAGAAAAUUUAAAUAUUAACUGGUAACAGGUAUUAAGUACUAAGGGGUAAAGACAAGUCUAAAGGAUACAGAAAUAAUCGUUACAGGGAAUAGCCACUACGUAUAGGGUGAGGCUGAAUACUCAAGGAAGGACAAUUUUGAAAGAGCCUUCUCACCUCCACUGUUAGCUUGGAUUCAGACUUCACUAGAAAGAGGACAGUUAUGGCCUGUUGGAUGGUGAAGUGUGUGUGCGCUGAGAGAGGGAUAACAGUUCUGCAGACUAUUUGCUGCCGUGUGCCACCACAAGGGCAAGAAGGAAAAGAAAAUAUUCUGGAAUGAGGAAAAGAAGACUCUUCAUUUGGCUGCUUCCCUCUAGGUCUCUGUAUUGACAGCAGUCAACACUGUGCCAGCUGGCAGGGGAGAAAUACUUACAGGGCCCUACUCCAGUAUUUCAAAGAAUGGAAAAGAAGGGUGGAUUUGGAACUGAGAGGCUAUAAAUUGAUAGUAGGCACACAUAUGCUCUGCUGCAGAAAAUCAAUGUAUGUGAUUAUAAAAUGCUGACCUAGAACCCACUGGGGGUGUUACAUUAUAUAUAUAGUAUGUGCAUCAUACAGCCUUUGUACAAUCGCAACAGUUCUGAAUUCUGAGCAUAUCUGGACUUCAGGUUUUUGGUUCAGGGAUUGUAGACCUGUACCAGCUUUCUUUUUUGUUAGCUAUCUGUGUAGAGCUAUCUGAAAAAUAGAGGGAACAUAUGCCUCAAGGUCUUCUGCCUUUAUAGAUGACCAAAUCUAAUCACCAGCUGGCAUCAAGCUUGAGUCAAUAAAAAUACCUGAGCACCUGAGAUCUUGUUUGAGACAAGGAGAGAACAAAGUGAUAAGCCUGCCUCUUCAACAGCUUGGGAACAACUUCUGUCCUAUAUAAUAACUUUUUCAUCUCACUGAGCUCCUGGAGUUUGACCCAAUAAUAUUAGUAUUUUCUCCUCUUAAGGUGGGAUAUGGUUUUAAUAAAAGGACAGAAACCUUGAGUUAUCUCCAUUACAGUCCCAUUGCCAAGGGUUGCAAGCUCAAAUAUCUAUAUGGAUUCAGCAUACAAGUUAAAUGAGUAAAGACAACAGGGAGCUGUGGUAACAGUGGCAAUCUAUAGCGUACAUGCUUUGAACAAAGAAGGUAAUUGCUACUUAACUUCUGCAUAUUUUUGCCAUGCAGAUCUGAUAGUCGAAUAGUCUAACUUUCCAAGAGAAGUUAGAAAUUCAGAUUUUAAAAUGUGAAACUAUCAAAUUUUGAAACAAUAAAAAAGACAGUGCAGGAUAAACAGACACAUGGAGGGGUUCAUAUUCAGCUGUGACUCCUAUCCUAAUCUCAGCUGCUAGGUCCUGUGACAAGUGCUGGCCCUUAAAGGCCCUGAUUACUGUUACACUGGGGGCCCCCAAUGCACGACGACUCUCUGUAUUCACAACCUUGUGUAGACCCUUCCACCCCGACUCUGGGCUUGGCCAUAUGGCUUGUUUUGGCCAGUGACACACUAACAACUGUGGUGCAACCAGAGGCUUGAUAAGUAUUUGCUCAACGGGGUUUGUCCUCUUGGAAGUUAGUCACCAUGCAGAAGCCUGAACGGUAAAAAGUCAGGUAAAGAGAGAGGCCCUGGAGGAUGAGGAAGCUGUUUUGAUGAGCUCCCAGCUGACUGCAGUCUCAUGAGUAAUCUCGGCUUAUACUACGUGGGACCAGCUGAGUCCAGUUAACCCACACAAUUGCAAAGAAUAAGAAAGCACUGUUAUUUUAAACUUCUAAGUCUUAGAGGUAGUUUAUGAUGAUGCAAUAGGUAGCUGAAAUAGAGGUCAUUUAUUCCAAUCCCUUUAUUUAACUAAUGAAUGUCUCAAAGCCUAGAGAGGCAAAGGGGUCUGGUGAAAUUCAGACACCAUGUUAGGAAUAAUAGCUUUUUAAUUCUGUGUUCUUCCUAUUGCUUUUCUUUCAAUUCCCUAAGUAGAAAGCAUCGGAUAAGGGCCAUUAAACUUAAAACUGUAUUGAACAGAACUUACACUGUGUCCUGCAUGCAUACAAAUUACUGUAGCAAUUCGGUGCUUGGAAAUGGAAAGACUUAGAGGUCAUCUAGUCCCUUCCCUUUACAGGUGCAGAAAAUGCAAAACACUUGAGAAAGAGAACAGUAGCCUUUGACAUUUGGCAGCUGGCCUGAUACAAUCAAACAGGCAGUAAUGUUACUAGAUGAUAGCCUGGUCCUCUUAGCUAGGCCUCGUGUUUUCUUGUUGAACCUAAUUUCAUAGAACAUAAAUGUUAGACAAAGCCAUUCUAUGGCCAUGAUAGACCAAUACAAAAGCGAAACCACUCCUAAUUAAAUCUGAACACAGAUCAAACAGGGACAUUGUUCAAACCACAAAAAAUGACCAAAUAGCCCUUAUUCUGGUAAUGAGGGACUCCUGCUUCUCUACCAAUCAGGACUUCAGCCUCGUCUAGUAGUCCUUCCGUCUAGAUAACAUUUACUGAGAUGCCCAAUCAUAAAAUUACCUCCACUUUCUGACAGCAUCUUAUCCAGGGUAAAGUCC